rnacentral:rRNA from 1 species
GUAGUCCACGCCGUAAACGAUGUCGACUAGCCGUUGGGAACCUUAGAGUUUCUUGUGGCGCAGCUAACGCGAUAAGUCGACCGCCUGGGGAGUACGGCCGCAAGGUUAAGACUCAAAUGAAUUGACGGGGGCCCGCACAAGCGGUGGAGCAUGUGGUUUAAUUCGAUGCAACGCGAAGAACCUUACCACCCCUUGACAUCCUGCGAACUUUCUAGAGAUAGAUUGGUGCCUUCGGGAGCGCAGAGACAGGUGCUGCAUGGCUGUCGUCAGCUCGUGUUGUGAAAUGUUGGGUUAAGUCCCGUAACGAGCGCAACCCUUGUCCUUAGUUGCCAGCGAGUAAUGUCGGGAACUCUAAGGAGACUGCCGGUGACAAACCGGAGGAAGGUGGGGACGACGUCAAGUCAUCAUGGCCCUUACGGGGUGGGCUACACACGUGCUACAAUGGCCGGUACAGACGGUUGCAAACCCGCGAGGGGGAGCCAAUCCGAGAAAACCGGUCGUAGUCCGGAUUGCAGUCUGCAACUCGACUGCAUGAAGUCGGAAUCGCUAGUAAUCGCGGAUCAGCAUGCCGCGGUGAAUA